ACGAACGCUGGCGGCAUGCCUAACACAUGCAAGUCGAACGAGACCUUCGGGUCUAGUGGCGCACGGGUGCGUAACGCGUGGGAACCUGCCCUUAGGUUCGGAAUAACUCCCCGAAAGGGGUGCUAAUACCGGUUAAUGUCUUCGGACCAAAGAUUUAUCGCCUUUGGAUGGGCCCGCGUUGGAUUAGCUAGUUGGUAGGGUAAAAGCCUACCAAGGCGACGAUCCAUAGCUGGUCUGAGAGGAUGAUCAGCCACACUGGGACUGAGACACGGCCCAGACUCCUACGGGAGGCAGCAGUGGGGAAUAUUGGACAAUGGGCGAAAGCCUGAUCCAGCAAUGCCGCGUGAGUGAUGAAGGCCUUAGGGUUGUAAAGCUCUUUUACCCGGGAUGAUAAUGACAGUACCGGGAGAAUAAGCUCCGGCUAACUCCGUG
rnacentral:rRNA from 1 species